CAAAAACAUAAACCUGCCAAGGUUUGCUUUUGAGAGAUGAGCCCCCGGUGCGUGUGCUCCCUCUAGAAUUCCAGAGAGCGAACUGUGAAGCAAAAGCUAAACCCAGCGGGUGGCUGUAGGCAGUAGUAAAAGAAAUUUUUCUCGCCAUAUGUCACCACUGCUUACGGGUUUUGCGUGUAACAGGUCAGCCGAUCGAACGAAAAUCUACUUCUGU
rnacentral:misc_RNA from 1 species